AGAGUUUGAUCAUGGCUCAGGAUGAACGCUAGCGGCAGGCCUAAUACAUGCAAGUCGAACGGAUAUGAGGACUUCGGUUCUCAUGUUAGUGGCGCACGGGUGCGUAACGCGUAUGCAACCUACCUUUUACUGGGGGAUAGCCCGGAGGAAUCCGGAUUAAUACCGCAUAACACUAUUUGAGGGCAUCCGAAGAUAGUUAAAGAUUUAUUGGUAAAAGAUGGGCAUGCGUGCCAUUAGCUAGUUGGUGGUGUAACGGACCACCAAGGCGACGAUGGCUAGGGGUUCUGAGAGGAUGAUCCCCCACACUGGUACUGAGAUACGGACCAGACUCCUACGGGAGGCAGCAGUAGGGAAUAUUGGGCAAUGGACGCAAGUCUGACCCAGCCAUGCCGCGUGCAGGAUGAAGGCCUUCUGGGUUGUAAACUGCUUUUAUCUAGGAAGAAAAAACCCUUGCGAGGGGAACUGACGGUACUAGGUGAAUAAGCACCGGCUAACUCCGUGCCAGCAGCCGCGGUAAUACGGAGGGUGCAAGCGUUGUCCGGAUUUAUUGGGUUUAAAGGGUGCGUAGGCGGCCCGUUAAGUCCGUGGUGAAAGCCAACAGCUCAACUGUUGAACUGCCAUGGAUACUGACGGGCUUGAGUACAGACGAGGUAGGCGGAAUGGAUGGUGUAGCGGUGAAAUGCAUAGAUACCAUCCAGAACACCGAUUGCGUAGGCAGCUUACUAGGCUGUAACUGACGCUGAGGCACGAAAGCGUGGGGAGCGAACAGGAUUAGAUACCCUAGUAGUCC
rnacentral:rRNA from 1 species